rnacentral:rRNA from 1 species
UAGGGAAUCUUCGGCAAUGGACGAAAGUCUGACCGAGCAACGCCGCGUGAGUGAAGAAGGUUUUCGGAUCGUAAAACUCUGUUGUUAGAGAAGAACAAGGACGUUAGUAACUGAACGUCCCCUGACGGUAUCUAACCAGAAAGCCACGGCUAACUACGUGCCAGCAGCCGCGGUAAUACGUAGGUGGCAAGCGUUGUCCGGAUUUAUUGGGCGUAAAGCGUGCGCAGGCGGUUUCUUAAGUCUGAUGUGAAAGCCCCCGGCUCAACCGGGGAGGGUGAUUGGAAACUGGGAGACUUGAGUGCAGAAGAGGAGAGUGGAAUUCCAUGUGUAGCGGUGAAAUGCGUAGAUAUAUGGAGGAACACCAGUGGCGAAGGCGGCUCUCUGGUCUGUAACUGACGCUGAGGCUCGAAAGCGUGGGGAGCAAACAGG